UCAUUGUGAAUCCCCAAAAUGUCAAUUGAGUUUGAUUUUUUCAGCUAUUACGACUAAGAAUAGGCUAAGUAAACAAUUGGUAGAUCUGCUUAGUUUCAAUUUCUUCAGUCAUUUGUGGGUCUGGCACUCGGAUCAUUCAAAUGUUCUUUUUGAGCAACUCCUGAUUCAAAAUAGAUUUUAAAAAGGUGCCUUUGUCGACACUGACCACAACUGACUGAAUUCUACCACAUACCGCACCCUAAUAGCAAGAGUAUAUCCGAUCACACUCAAUUUAAUCUCGACCUGUACGGUCAGAAAAUGGAAAUCAUAUAGCGGUAGUUUAAUGGUAUUAUAUUCUACAGAAAUAUCCAAGUAUACCUUAUUAAGUUGAAGCUGUUUACAGUUCAGAAGACUUAUAUAGCGGCACUUUUAAGAAAAUAUUAUAAACAAAACUUUUGUAAUUAGCUUUAACCCAGGAUAAAUAUAGCAUAUUAUCGAUUUUAAACUCCGAGAGUUCGGUAACUAUCUUCGUAUAUAAGCGAUAGUCGGCUUUCAAAAUGGCUUGGUUGCAGUAUGAAUAAAGAGUAUAUAAUAAGUC